rnacentral:rRNA from 1 species
UACGGGGGGGGCAAGCGUUGUUCGGAAUUACUGGGCGUAAAGGGUGCGUAGGCGGCUUUCUAAGUUGGAUGUGAAAACUCUGGGCUCAACCCAGAGCCUGCAUCCAAAACUGGAGAGCUUGGGUUCUGGGGGGGAAAGCGGAAUUCCUGGUGUAGCGGUGAAAUGCGUAGAGAUGUGGAGGAACACCAGUGGCGAAGGCGACUCUUUGGUCUGUAACUGACGCUGAGGCGCGAAAGCGUGGGGAGCAAACAGG